GCGGGGUGUCGUCAGUGCGGCUGCGGGGCCCGCGGGGCUGACGACCUUGCAGGAGUUGCUGAUUCCGGCGUUGUUCCUGUCGAUGACCGGGCA
rnacentral:tRNA from 1 species